GAUGAAGAACGCAGCGAAACGCGAUAGUUAAUGUGAAUUGCAGAAUUCAGAGAAUCAUCGAGUCUUUGAACGCACAUUGCGCCCAUUGGUAUUCCGUUGGGCAUGUCUGUUUGAGCGUCAUUACAACAGUUCAGCGUAAGCUGGUUAUGAGUUCUGUUUUUUUAAACAAAAAACAGGCUUUAAAAUGUAUGUUCUGCAGGUCGCUUUGCUAAACCCUAAACAUUAAAUACUGUUCUAGUGAAGCAUUUGCGACUCUGCCUGAAAAAAAACUUUUGUUAAAGUUUGACCUCAGAUCAGACAAGGAUACCCGCUGAACUUAAGCAUAUCAAUAAGCGGAGGA
rnacentral:misc_RNA from 1 species